rnacentral:ncRNA from 1 species
CGACCACGCGCGGGAGAGUUCCCGGUCCAGCACCGGGGCGCCGAAGGAGCAAGUCCUCCCUUGAAUCUCUCAGGCCCCGAUACCGCGCGCGGAAG